UACGUAGGGGGCAAGCGUUGUCCGGAAUCAUUGGGCGUAAAGUGCGUGUAGGCGGCUCGGUAAGUCCGCUCUGAAAGCCCGGGGCUCAACCCCGGGAGGCGGGUGGAUACUGCUGAGCUCGAGUCCGGAAGAGGAGUGUGGAAUUCCUGGUGUAGCGGUGAAAUGCGCAGAUAUCAGGAGGAACACCAAUGGCGAAGGCAGCACUCUGGGACGGUACUGACGCUGAGACGCGAAAGCGUGGGGAGCAAACAGG
rnacentral:rRNA from 1 species